rnacentral:rRNA from 1 species
AUACGGAGGGUCCAAGCGUUAUCCGGAUUCAUUGGGUUUAACGGGUCCGCAGGCGGGAAAAUAAGUCAGUGGUGAAAGCCUACAGCUCAACUGUAGAACUGCCAUUGAUACUGUUUUUCUUGAGUAUAGAUGAAGUGGGCGGAAUAUAUCAUGUAGCGGUGAAAUGCAUAGAUAUGAUAUAGAACACCGAUUGCGAAGGCAGCUCACUAAACUAUUACUGACGCUCAGGGACGAAAGCGUGGGGAGCGAACAGGAGUAGAAACCCUAGUAGUCC